UACGUAGGGGGCAAGCGUUAUCCGGAAUUAUUGGGCGUAAAGAGCUCGUAGGCGGUUUGUCGCGUCUGCUGUGAAAACUGGAGGCUCAACCUCCAGCCUGCAGUGGGUACGGGCAGACUAGAGUGCGGUAGGGGAGAUUGGAAUUCCUGGUGUAGCGGUGGAAUGCGCAGAUAUCAGGAGGAACACCGAUGGCGAAGGCAGAGCUCUGGGCCGUAACUGACGCUGAGGAGCGAAAGCAUGGGGAGCGAACAGG
rnacentral:rRNA from 1 species